rnacentral:lncRNA from 1 species
ACGCUGCCGCUUGUCUCGGAUUGUGAAGCCGGUCCUGGCUUCCUUGUCUAAAAGCUCUUUGGGACUGAAAUGGCUGUUUAUGAAUCCUUGUCAACCUCGUUCGCAGUCAACGACCAGGGAAUAAAUUAUUCGUGGAAUGACACAGUUCAUAAUUAUUAUAAGGUAUUAUUAAAUUAUGAAAGCGUAGGCCGGGCGCGGUGGUUCACACCUGUAAUCACAGCAUUUUGGGAGGCCGAUGCGGGCGGAUCAUCAGGUCAGGAGUUCGAGACCAGCCUGACCAACAUGGUGAAACCCCGUCUCUACUAAAAAUACGAAAAAAUUAGCCAGGCGUGGUGGAGCGCGCCUGUGAUCCCAGCUACUCAGGAGGCUGAGGCAGGAGAAUCGCUUGAACCCAGGAGGUUACAGUUAGCUGAGAUUGCGCCACUGUAUUCUGUCUACCCUGGGCGACAGAGCGAGAUUCCGUCUCAAAAAAAUAAAAAUAAAAUAUAUGAACGCAUAAUGGUGACGGUGGCUAACAUUGAACGCUUACUUUGUGCCAGUUGAUAUGCCAAGUACAAGUGCGAAUACUUACAAAUAUUACCUUAUUGAAUCUUCACAUAAUCGCAAAUAAGUAGACUAUUUAUUUCUUUUUACAGAUAAGGAAAUGGAGGUCCUGGAGGUUACAUGACUAGCCCAACAAGUAUGACAACUCCGAUAUCGGCUUGCGGUUCACUCAUUCAGUUUGCUGAUUCAGAGAUCUGUGCAUUCACUCACCUGUUCCUUCUCCAGCAAGGCCUCCCCACCCUACCACCUCCUCCUUUCUUAGUUUGGCUGUCUGUGACUCACUCAACACACAUCCCCAGACCUUUCUGGAACUCCAGGUUGGGCAGAUUGGCCUCCACAGCAACCUGUGGAUCUCUGAACACUGGGGCAAGGGCCUGGUCUCAAGCAGCUUCGUAUUCUGAGAUCAGUUUUUACUGAGUAUUGGACCAGCCAGGAUACUAACUAGUAUUUAUUCAGCACCUACUAUGUUGAGUAUAAAUAGCAUAGUAAAAGUAGGAAACACACAAUAAUACCUCAACAGAAAAAUGAGUAAACCAGCGAGGUGUCACGCCUGUAGUCCCAGGUUCUUGGGAAGCUGAGGCCGGCUAAGUUCAAGGAGGAUCGCUUGAGCAGGAGUUCCAGGCUGCAGCGCGCUAUGAUCGCGCCUGCGAACAGCCAUUGCACUCCAGCCUGGGCAACAGAGCGCGACUGUGUCUCUAAAAAACAACGCAAAACAAAAAACACGGCAGAACUUAAGCAUUUUGCUGCACUGCCCAGUGAAAUCCAUUCCAUUUGACAAAUACUGCCCUCUUAACAUUCUUAGAAUUUUUUUUUGGAGCAAGUGUUAGCGUCCCUGUUUUCAAGGAGGUGGUCAAGUAUGCACAGACAUCAGUAGUGACGUUUGCUGGAGACUUCCUUUAGACAAAAAUGAACUUAGGGACAGCACUUAAGUUAGAGGCCAAGUCUUUGGCCAAAGUAGCCUGCCAUCCUACUCCAGAGAACUGCUGUGGUUAAAAGAGGAAAAACUGUAUUCUGCGAUCAA